rnacentral:lncRNA from 10 species
UCCUAUGGGUCUAAAUAUGGGGCUCCACGUAAUAAGCCAUUAAAAUGAAGAAAAAGGGAAAGAAGGAGAUGGAGGAGGGAGUGUCCAACUAAUUGUUUUAAUUGAAAAUUAUCUCAUUGUUAGAGAAAAUAAAACUAGAAACUUGGGGAAGCUAAUUUCUCAAAAUCACAAUGCUAGGUCGAGGCAGAACCAAACCAUGGAUACGGGUCCUUUGCUCAAAUUCUUCUCAAUGAAGACUCUGUGAUGAAGAGGCCACUUCCAUUUAAAGGCAGCGACACUUAGAAAAUCACAGGCAUUAAAACUUAGAAGAGGUCACCUUAUCCAACGUCCCAGCCAGCACAGCCAUCCUUUCACAGCAUCCAUGACAUUCAGCCUCCUCUCAGACAUGGGAAGAUCACCUCUUCAUGAAACAGCAGAUUCUUCAAGGAUAAGGAAAUGGAGGAACAAAGCAGUGAAG